GGGCUCGCGGGUCUAAAUCAUUUUUUUUUAUCUAAUAUAGGAUUUCGCUAUAUUUUUCUAUAAAUGAACUUUAUCUUAUACCUAAUAGAAAAAUGAAAUAAAAAAGGGGUCACCGUUCAUUUACGCUCACAAUCUGCCUUGGAAAGAAACAUACAUUUUUGUUAAUGUCCUUUUUUCUUGUUGAAUUAAUAGGAGAAAUAGCGGUAAUAUCGAAAUAAAAAAAGAACUAAAUUACAGAAAUCGCUUAAAUUUUACAAUUAUUUAGUUUAUGUACAGCUUAUUCGAAAACAAC
rnacentral:lncRNA from 1 species